rnacentral:rRNA from 1 species
GCCUCACACCUAAAGAUGAGCCCAAGCGGGAUUAGCUAGUUUGGUGGGGUAAAGGCUCACCAAGGCGACGAUCCCUAGCUGUUCUGAGAGGAUGAUCAGCCACACUGGGACUGAGACACGGCCCAGACUCCUACGGGAGGCUGCAGUGGGGAAUAUUGCACAAUGGGGGAAACCCUGAUGCAGCCAUGCCGCGUGUGUGAAGAAGGCCUUCGGGUUGUAAAGCACAUUCAGCGACGAGGAAGGGUGUUGUGUUAAUAGCGCAGCACAUUGACGUUAGUCGCAGAAGAAGCACCGGCUAACUCCGUGCCAGCAGCCGCGGUAAUAUGGAGGGUGCAAGCGUUAAUCGGAAUUACUGGGCGUAAAGCGUACGUAGGCGGCGUGUUAAGCAAGAUGUGAAAGCCCCGGGCUCAACCUGGGAAUUGCAUUUUGAACUGGCAUGCUAGAGUCCUGAAGAGGGUGGUAGAAUUUCCAGUGUAGCGGUGAAAUGCGUAGAUAUUGGAANGGAAUACCGGUGGCGAAGGCGGCCACCUGGUCAGAGACUGACGCUGAGGUACGAAAGCGUGGGGAGCAAACAGGAUAAGAUACCCUGGUAGUCCACGCCGUAAACGAUGUCAACUAGUUGUUCGGGUCAUUAAGACGUGAGUAACGCAGCUAACGCACUAAGUUGACCGCCUGGGGANGNUACGGCCGCNAAGGUUAAAACUCAAAUGAAUUGACGGGGGCCCGCACAAGCGGUGGAGCAUGUGGUUUAAUUCGAUGCAACGCGAAGAACCUUACCAUCCCUUGACAUCCAGUGAAUUUUUCAGAGAUGAAUUAGUGCCUUCGGGAACACUGAGACAGGUGCUGCAUGGCUGUCGUCAGCUCGUGUUGUGAGAUGUUGGGUUAAGUCCCGCAACGAGCGCAACCCUUAUCCUUAGUUGCCAGCACGUAAAGGUGGGAACUCUGGGGAGACUGCCGGUGAUAAACCGGAGGAAGGUGGGGACGACGUCAAGUCAUCAUGGCCCUUACGGGAUGGGCUACACACGUGCUACAAUGGCGCAUACAAAGGGCAGCAAGCCAGCGAUGGUUAGCGAAUCUCAUAAAGUGCGUCGUAGUCCGGAUCGGAGUCUGCAACUCGACUCCGUGAAGUCGGAAUCGCUAGUAAUCGUGGAUCAGAAUGCCACGGUGAAUACGUUCCCGGGCCUUGUACACACCGCCCGUCACA